AUAGCUGCACAAUGGCAAUAUAAUAGCCAAUGAGGUUUAUCUGAGGCACAAUUAUUGCUAAUUGAAAACUUUUCCCAAAUAGUAAUGUGGUCAGAAGUGACCUUACUCAGUCUAUGUUCCCCCUGUUUCUGACCCCUACCCCAGUAA